GAUGAACGCUGGCGGCGUGCUUAACACAUGCAAGUCGAACGAAGAGCGAUGGAAGCUUGCUUCUUUCAAUCUUCGUGGCGAACGGGAGUGUAACGCGUAUUCAACCUGCCCUUCAGAGGGGUACAACAGUUGGAAACGACUGCUAAUACCGCAUACGAUCAAAUCUCAUCAUUCGGACUGGAUGAACGGUCGUGUCUAUUUAUAUGCUAUCACUGACGGUGGGUAUUGUGUCUGAUUAGCUAGUUGGUGGGGUAACGGGCUAACAAAGGCAUGAACAGUAGCCCGUCCGGGAGGAUGAACCGGCAAAUCGGGACUGAAAAACGGGCCAAAACUCCAAGGGGGGGAGCAGGGAGGAAUUUUUCGGAAUGGAGGAAAGUCUGGAGGAGCAAAGGCGGGUGGGUGAUGGAGGCCUUCCGGAUGUAAAGCCCUGUUAAUCAGGACGAAUGGUACGUGUGCGAAUAGUGGGAGGAUUUGACGGUACCGGAAUAGAAAGCCACGGCUAACUACGUG
rnacentral:rRNA from 1 species